UAUCUCAUAAUGUCUGAUACGUAACAAUGGAUUGCGACUUGGCGAACAAUGGAUGUGCAGGGCCCUGUAUUGCGACUUGGCGACGGCCAUUCGGCCAGCCGACCAGGCCAUUCUGUGUCACAUAGUUUACUUUCCUAUGGUAGAAGUUAUGAGUCGACAGACAGAACAGCAGAAUAUUUGAGACAGGCUGCUGCUGCUGAUUUGACAGAGGCAGAUCUACUACAUGCUCCUUGCAGUUCAAAUUCUACAUCGGAAGCCACUGCUUGUAACAUGUCUGGGGCCACUGCAUGUGAGAUUGUUCCUCGCCCAGGUCGAUUUCAACAGAGAUAAAGGCCAACCUCAGUAACAAACUUUGACUAUGUUCCAAAUAAGGAAGAAAAGGUAGCACUAUUGAAAGCUGGAUUGGUGGAGAAGAAGAUCAUUUUCAGAAAGAACUUUUCUCCUGAAUUCUUAAAGACAUCACUUCUUGAAGCUUACCCUCUUAUUAAAGAAAAGCUGCCGGAUCACGACAUCAAUUGACAAAAGUGAGGGUCCCUCAAGAGUCUUGGAGGAUUCACAACUACUAGCCUUGCAGAUGAAAGUGGCAUUGGUCAAGCACUAUGUUAUAUUUUGUCUAUUCAAAGAAAAUUUGAAGAUAGUGGAUAUAAUGGAAAAAGAUGGUGGAGGUAUACAACUGAUGUGCUAGAGGAAUGUAUACAACGUGGCUGCAUCAUAUCAAUGUCAAAAAUGAGGGACCACGUAAUGGAAUGUGGUAAAAAUCUUGCAUGCCAGAAGGGAUGUAGUGAGCUUAUGCCAUGGCGCGGCCUCUAAAUGGGGGAUUGUUAAACCUGAAAAGCAAUCAAUAUUACAACAGACAGGGAUGGUUAUUGAUGGGAGGAAGAAGGAUGUGAAACAAAGAAAUAUAAACAGACCCCCUCUCUCAUACCUUGAGGACUUCAUGAACUUUUUCGAAAGGCUGCAAGGACUUACCAACAGUGACAUAUGGCAGUGUGGAGUCUGUCAGUAACUGUAUAGAGAAGGUGGCUUCACUUUAUAAGGCUGAAUCAUUUUCCCUCAGAUUCAUGACACUUCCAACAGGGAACAGAUUGCUUUCUUCGGUUUAAAUGGUUUUAAAUAAUCAAUUAUUGCCAAAAGGAGUCGAUGCCAUUUUCUAUUUUUAACAUUUGAAACAUGGACAAAGGGAAGUAAUUACUAUGCAAAUCAAUUAUCUAAAAGGAUGUAUUCUAGAGAUUGAACAUGGAACCUCUGCUGCCAAUCCUAUAAAGAUAUACACAUGUACACAUAUAAACACAACAAGAAUAACUUCACAGGGGUACACUUUUACAUAAAACUAGGGUUCAUAACAAAAGUACAUCAAAAUCAUUCACAAAUGCAUGGGUGUCAUGUGUGUCGAUUUCGGUUGAUACUCCUUCACAAGCAAUAACCUCAACUAAAUUCUUUGAACAUCAUUACAAUUCCAUUAAUAUGAACUUUGUCUUUAUUUUGUUCCCCAUUCCAAAAUUACCAUAUUUAUCUUGUUCUGUCUUGACUAAGCUUUCCUUUAUUUUUUAUAACUCCUUAUUGGAUAGAAGAUGAACUUGUUUUCUUCUUUGAAUAAA
rnacentral:lncRNA from 1 species